rnacentral:tRNA from 1 species
GGGUGAUUAGCUCAGUUGGUAGAGUUGACUUUUAAUCAAUUGGUCGCAGGUUCGAAUCCUGCACGACCCACCA